rnacentral:rRNA from 1 species
AACGAACGCUGGCGGCAUGCCUAACACAUGCAAGUCGAACGAGACCUUCGGGUCUAGUGGCGCACGGGUGCGUAACGCGUGGGAAUCUGCCCUUGGGGACGGAAUAACUCAGAGAAAUUUGUGCUAAUACCGUAUAAUGUCUUCGGACCAAAGAUUUACCGCCCAAGGAUGAGCCCGCGUAAGAUUAGCUUGUUGGUGAGGUAAAAGCUCACCAAGGCGACGAUCUUUAGCUGGUCUGAGAGGAUGAUCAGCCACACUGGGACUGAGACACGGCCCAGACUCCUACGGGAGGCAGCAGUGGGGAAUAUUGGACAAUGGGCGAAAGCCUGAUCCAGCAAUGCCGCGUGAGUGAUGAAGGCCUUAGGGUUGUAAAGCUCUUUUACCCGGGAUGAUAAUGACAGUACCGGGAGAAUAAGCUCCGGCUAACUCCGUGCCAGCAGCCGCGGUAAUACGGAGGGAGCUAGCGUUGUUCGGAAUUACUGGGCGUAAAGCGCGCGUAGGCGGUUUUUUAAGUCAGAGGUGAAAGCCCAGUGCUCAACACUGGAACUGCCUUUGAAACUGGAAAACUUGAAUCUUGGAGAGGUCAGUGGAAUUCCGAGUGUAGAGGUGAAAUUCGUAGAUAUUCGGAAGAACACCAGUGGCGAAGGCGACUGACUGGACAAGUAUUGACGCUGAGGUGCGAAAGCGUGGGGAG